CAAUAGCGUAUAUUAAAGUUGUUGCGGUAAAAAAGCUCGUAGUUGGAUUUCUGUUGUGAGCGACCGGUCCAUACCAUGUAUGCGUAUCUGGCUUGCUCUCGGCAUCCUCUCGAUAGACGUUACUGCGCUUGAUUGCGUGGUGCGGAUCUCGGGACUUUUACUUUGAGGAAAUUAGAGUGUUCACGGCAGGCUUUCGCCAGAAUACAUUAGCAUGGAAUAAUACUAUAGGAUCUUGGUUCUAUUUUGUUGGUUUCUAGAAUUGAGAUAAUGAUUAAUAGGGACAAUUGGGGGCAUUCGUAUCAACACGUCAGAGGUGGAAUUCUUGGAUUGUGUUGCGACGAACUACUGCGAAAGCAUUUGCCAAGGAUGUUUUCAUUGA
rnacentral:rRNA from 1 species